rnacentral:piRNA from 2 species
UCUGUGGUACCAAAGCCUCUUUAACACAUU